rfam:Triticum aestivum genome assembly, contig: Triticum_aestivum_CS42_TGACv1_scaffold_643399_T_4BL-0.093141_4BS-0.054714
UCUGUACUCCCUCCGUCCCAAAAUUCUUGUCUUAAAUUUGUCUAAAUACGGAUGUAUCUAGUUACAUUUUAGUGUUAGAUACAUCUGUAUCUAAACAAAUGUAAGACAAGAAUUUUGGGACGGAGGGAAUACUAC